GACGAACGCUGGCGGCGUGCCUAAUACAUGCAAGUCGAGCGGACUGAAUGGGAGCUUGCUCUUGUUCGGUCAGCGGCGGACGGGUGAGUAACACGUGGGCAACCUGCCCGCAAGACCGGGAUAACUCCGGGAAACCGGAGCUAAUACCGGAUAACACCGAAGACCGCAUGGUCUUUGGUUGAAAGGCGGCGCAAGCUGCCACUUGCGGAUGGGCCCGCGGCGCAUUAGCUAGUUGGUGAGGUAACGGCUCACCAAGGCGACGAUGCGUAGCCGGCCUGAGAGGGUGACCGGCCACACUGGGACUGAGACAUGGCCCAGGAUCCUACGGGAGGCAGCAGUAGGGAAUCUUGCGCUAUGGGCGAGAGCCUGACGGAGCGACGCCGCGUGGGCGAAGAAGGCCUUCGGAUCGUAAAGCUCUGUUGUGAGAGACGAAGGAGCGCCGUUUGAAGAAGGCGGCGCGGUGACGGUACCUCACGGGGAAGCCCAGGCUAACUACGUG
rnacentral:rRNA from 1 species